GACGAACCGUGCGAACGUUGUUCGGAAUCAUUGGGCUUAAAGGGCGCGUAGGCGGGUCUUCAAGUCAGGGGUGAAAGCCCACGGCUCAACCGUGGAAGAGCCUUUGAUACUGAGGAUCUCGAGGGAGGUAGGGGCAUGCGGAACUUCCGGUGGAGCGGUGAAAUGCGUAGAUAUCGGAAGGAACACCGGUGGCGAAAGCGGCGUGCUGGACCUCUACUGACGCUGAGGCGCGAAAGCUAGGGGAGCAAACGGG
rnacentral:rRNA from 1 species